rnacentral:rRNA from 1 species
UACGUAGGGGGCAAGCGUUGUCCGGAAUCAUUGGGCGUAAAGAGCGCGUAGGCGGCCCUGUAAGUCCGCUGUGAAAGUCAAGGGCUCAACCCUUGGAUGCCGGUGGAUACUGCAGGGUUAGAGUCCGGAAGAGGCGAGUGGAAUUCCUGGUGUAGCGGUGAAAUGCGCAGAUAUCAGGAGGAACACCGAUGGCGAAGGCAGCUCGCUGGGACGGUACUGACGCUGAGGCGCGAAAGCGUGGGGAGCAAACAGG